GGGGGAGAAUGUUAGGUUGAUCUCUACCGGCCCAAGUCCAAAGACUGGGCCGGACCCUUGACCACGUCCUGAUCGGGGACGUUCAGCCUUCUAUGGGCUGGUGGGCCCCCGUCGCGCAGUGUAUAAAGAGAGGGUGGGGGCUAGGGCACAAAAGACGAGGUUCGUCACAACAGUGCCACUAGCCACACCUAACCCUAGACCGAUCGAGGGGAGUCACUGCCAGCGACGGGAAGUCCGCUGCCGCCGCCACUGCCUCGAACACGACCCUCUCUACCGACCCGAAGGUAUGGUUCACCGUCCUAUUCUAUCUUUCUCCCCGGAUCCAUGACAUUCCAACUUGUUUAUCCCAAAUAGAAAGUAAACACCGACUGAUCUAUACACUAGAACGAUCCUAAGAUCAUAACACUACCUACCAAGCUCGCAAUCAUUAAUGAUGCACUGAUGGC
rnacentral:lncRNA from 1 species